GUCCCGGAUAGCCGCUUCCCUUUCCUAGGAGUUCACUUUACACCGAAGCUGGAUGGCACCAUUUGGCUAGGGCCUAAUGCCGUGCUCGCCUUUAAGCGGGAAGGUUACAGACCCUUCGACUUCAAUGCCAGAGAUGUCAUGGAGAUAAUUCUCAAGAGUGGUUUCUUUAAGCUGGUGCUUCACAACUUCUCCUAUGGAGCAAAUGAAAUGUAUAAAGCCUGUUUCCUCAGUGAAACAGUGAAGCAUCUUCAAAAGUUCAUUCCAGAAAUCACCACCAGCGAUGUGCUUCGAACUCUUCAUUGGAACCUUGUGAGUUCACCAGUGGGCACACAACUGAAAGCCAUGACUCCUCUUCUUCCAGAAUGCAGUCACCACGAGUUCAGCAGAGAGCAGUCGGGUCCACUUAGAGGCCCAGCUGGGGUACGAGCCCAGGCCAUGGACAGAAAUGGGAAUCUGAUAGACGAUUUCGUGUUUGAUGGAGGAACUGGGGAUAUUGGUGAACGUGUUCUUCAUGUGAGAAAUGCACCUUCUCCGGCUGCUACUUCUUCCCUGGCAAUUUCUAGAAUGAUUGCAGAUGAAGUGCAGCAAAGAUUUAAGUUAUGAACAAUGAAAGGAGCUGUGCUGGUGUCAUAUUCCCUACACAAGCAACAAGAACCUACCAGUUGUAUUUUUAAAUUAUAACUUAAGGACGUUAUUUUAAAACCAUACUUUUUAGGCUGUAAGAACCAUUGACUUAUUAACAGGAUGUAACAAUUAAUUUUAAAACUUCAGGUCCAUAUUCUUAUGAGCAAAGAAGCAAAAUGGGUCUGUACCAGUUGUGAAACCUGGACUUUGUUAGAGAUUUACCCAACCCAUUGUGACUUAGGAAAGGCUCUUAUAGAACAUUUGGGAAGUCAGCAUAAGAAAUGGAUUGUUCUCUAAAUCAGUGUUUGGCUUUAUGAUAUUUAUUUAUUUUUCUUUCCUGGAAAAACUAUGUCACAGUGUAUUGUAGGGCAUGACAUUCUUUUAAUAUGAAGAGUCAGGAAAGCUUACAUUAUUUUUCAAUGGUUUUACCUAGAAACUGAAAGUGCUUGAUUUCAAAAAAAUACAUGAAAUUUUGUAUUUCUAAGUAGCGUAAAACAAACUCAAUUCUUUACUCUCAGUCUCUUUGUAAGUGUCUCUAACGUGUGGUAUGGCAGCAUCACUCCAUCUGAAUAGCAGCAUACCUGUGUGCUUGUUGCCUACAUUACAGUUUCCUGUGGCCAGGAAAUGAAAGUCCCUAAAAGGGCCAUUUUUUUAGUAAGAGCAGUUUAAAAUCCUGACACUGAGUGUAGCACUGUGUAAUUUUAACCAAUUAUUUAUAUCACACCCCUGUCCUUUGGUCACACUAAAGUUCCCAAGAUGUUGGCCAGGAUUACUGAUGAUUCAUACCUACUUGGGUUUUCAGAAUUCCUAUAAACUUUUCGAGGACAUUUCUCCACUUUUAUUUAAUAUCUAACUUGGAGGCAUUCACUUUUGUAAACCGCGAAAGUGCCUUACAUUUUUCCUACAUACUUCAUGAACAUGUUGAGUUGGUGCCAAGUGCCAUACUGUAUACUGUGUGUGUGUGUGUGUGUGUGUGUGUGUGUGUGUGUGUGUUAGCUGAUGAAAUGUGUCUUACAAUUCAGAAAGUUGGAAUAUAAAAAUGUAAGUGAAAAACUGGCAACCUGGCCAUGGGAAUGGAGCCAGCCCUUAGGUGAGACUCUUCAUCCCUUCUCUCAGAUGUGUUCUCUCAGGGUUAAUCUUUCAUUUUCCUCACCAACACUGUGAUGGAUGCUUGAGAGGGAUGUGUGUGUUGAUAGGAAAAUCUUUUCUUGUUUUUUAUUUUUUCUUCACAUCAGCCCUUGGUGGUUACAUUUAUUAAGCUAUCCCAUCCAUUAAUUUGAAAUGACACAUGCUAUGAUCUUCAGUUCAAGAGGCAGCGCCUCCCAGGUAAAUAGAUGAGGCAGUUAUUCAACACUUGGGAUGGGCAUAUUGAAACAUUCAGAGAUCACUUACAGAGGAAACUAACCCUAAUGGCUCUCCAUAGCAACAGAUUCCUACAAGAAAUGCACUGCAUGGAGUCCUUCUCUGUUCUAAGACUUCUAAGUGAUACAAACAUUGCAUGAAAAUUAUUUUACUUUGUGAGUAAGAUGACAAUAUUUUCCUUUUAGUUAUGGUGAAAAGUGGGCAGUGGCUCUCUGUGUCAUCCUCUGUGAGAUCUUGUACACACGCACUAAGCUGUGAAAGACUAAAAUUACAAAAUCAACUGUCAUGAUUGAAGCAAUCCUUAUUCCAUUUGGGUCUGUGUUGUAUGCUCCAAAAUAAUAGAGAAAAUUUUGUUGAAGUAUGUCAGUUGCUGUGUUUGUAAAAUAUUUGAUAUUUAUGUCACUAAGAUGUUUGUUAAAUGCUGAUAUAAGCAUUUUGUGUCUUCCUGAGAAAAGAAAAAAUGUAUAUUAGUAUUAAAAUAUUUUAAUGAUCCUUG
rnacentral:lncRNA from 1 species